AGCAAUUCAAUAUUAAUAAUAUUGCUUUUCCUUUUCACCCUGAUAUUUUCCAUGUCCUUUGGUUCACAGGUGCCAUCAUGCGGGUUUCAAGUCAUCCAGAGGACGGUGGAAGCCAACUGAAUUCUGAUGACGAAUUCCUUGGGCUUCCUUCGCCAACCUCACCACCUCAGUUUAUCGCCGGACAUUUGGAAGACUUGGAAGAUGCCCUCCUGUGUCCUGACCUUGAACCUGCCUACCAGAAUGAUGACAGUGAAGACCACAGCAGUGAGGACGGUGAUGGUGGCCAUUCUGAUGACAGCAAUGACAAGCAUGACAGCAGGCGUGAUCACAGUGACAAUCACAGCCAGGAUGAUCAUACCAAUGAUGUCUACAGCAACGGCUAUGUCAAACUGCAAGAACAAGGAAUGUGCACAGCUUGCUGUCACCUUUGCAAUGUGCAAACUAAGUUGGAACUCAGCCACAGAAAAGCUGCAGAGAGAAGAGGAAAAGCUGGAGAAGUGAAAGGGAAGGAGCUAGAAGUGCACCCCGAGUGGGUAGCAAGAUGUCAAUGGAAAGAUCGUGAAGCGUUACUUUCAGACUCCCUUUUCGAUGAAGGGGUCACCAUGUCAGUAGCAGGUCUCCCAGAGAGCAGUGGAGAGGAAGCAAGUCCUAAUGAAGGAGGCCUCAUGUCCCCCCGGUUUGUGCCAGGACAAUUGGAAGAUUUGGAAGAUGCCCUUCUGUGUCCCGAGCUCCAACCUGACAUGGAUAUGGAUAUGGAUAAGGAAGAAGAGGGGUUCACUUGGCUGGAUGGGUGCAGCUCGAGCUGCGUCCCAGCUGCACUUCCUUGCCUGACUUUUGCCUUUAUGAGUUGAGCUGGGGGACCCCUGCUGCUUCUUUGUAAUGUCUGGAGGAAGCCCCAGGCAGCCAAUGUGCACUCAGAUUCUAGAGGCUGCCAGUGACCAGUAGAGACAAUGGUGAGGUCACUUUGGACAUUGCAUGUAGGGCUCUCCUCAGAUUCACCCCCUCUUUCUCUCCACCUUUCAUUUUUCCCUAGUUGGGAGCUGAAUGGAAGAGAAGUCCAUCACACUAGGGGAGCCAG
rnacentral:lncRNA from 1 species